GGUCGACUGGUGUAGUGGUUAUCACGUCUGUCUUACAACUGCGCCCUACGGCGUAUUGUGAGGACACAGAAGGUCGCAGGUUCGAUCCCUGCGUCGAUCA